AAUGUUGGGGGCUCGAAAACCAUCAGAUACCAUCCUAGUCUCAACCAAAAGCGAUGCCGGUCAGGGAUCUGUUGCUUUUAGGACUCCGCCAGCACCUUAUGAAAAAUCAAAAUUUUUGGGC
rfam:Solanum tuberosum cultivar DM 1-3 516 R44 scf00376_20, whole genome shotgun sequence.